UACGAAGGGGGCUAGAGUUGUUCGGAAUUACUGGGCGUAAAGCGCACGUAGGCGGACUUUUAAGUCAGGUGUGAAAUCCCGGGGCUCAACCUCGGAACUGCAUUUGAAACUGGAAGUCUUGAGACCAGGAGAGGUUAGCGGAAUACCGAGUGUAGAGGUGAAAUUCGUAGAUAUUCGGUGGAACACCAGUGGCGAAGGCGGCUAACUGGAAUGGUACUGACGCUGAGGUGCGAAAGUGUGGGGAGCAAACAGG
rnacentral:rRNA from 1 species